GAUGAACGCUGGCGGCGUGCCUAAUACAUGCAAGUCGAGCGAAUGGAUUAAGAGCUUGCUCUUAUGAAGUUAGCGGCGGACGGGUGAGUAACACGUGGGUAACCUGCCCAUAAGACUGGGACAACUCCGGGAAACCGGGGCUAAUACCGGAUAACAUUUUGAACCGCAUGGUUCGAAAUUGAAAGGCCGAUUCGGCUGUCGCUUAUGGAUGGGCCCGCGUCGCAUUAGCACGGUGGUGAGGUAACGGCGCACCAAGGCAACGAUGCGUAGCCGACCUGGAAGGGUGAUCGGCCACACCGGGACUGAGAGACGGCCCAGACUCCUACGGGAGGAGGCAGUAGGGGAUCUUCCGCAAUGGACGAAAGUCUGACGGAGCAACGCCGCGUGAGUGAUGAAGGCUUUCGGGUCGUAAAACUCUGUUGUUAGGGAAGAACAAGUGCUAGGUGAAUAAGCUGGCACCUUGACGGUACCUAACCAGAAAGCCACGGCUAACUACGUGCCAGCAGCCGCAGUAA
rnacentral:rRNA from 1 species